UGCCCAGACUCCUACGGGAGGCAGCAGUGGGGAAUAUUGCACAAUGGGGGAAACCCUGAUGCAGCAACGCCGCGUGAGUGAAGAAGUAUUUCGGUAUGUAAAGCUCUAUCAGCAGGGAAGAAAAUGACGGUACCUGACUAAGAAGCCCCGGCUAACUACGUGCCAGCAGCCGCGGUAAUACGUAGGGGGCAAGCGUUAUCCGGAUUCACUGGGCGUAAAGGGAGCGCAGGCGGCAUGGCAAGUCUGAUGUGAAAACCCGGGGCCCAACCCCGGGAGUGCAUUGGAAACUGCCAGGCUGGAGUGUCGGAGGGGUAAGCGGAAUUCCUAGUGUAGCGGUGAAAUGCGUAGAUAUUAGGAGGAACACCAGUGGCGAAGGCGGCUUACUGGACGACUACUGACGCUGAGGCUCGAAAGCGUGGGGAGCAAACAGGAUUAGAUACCCUAGUAACG
rnacentral:rRNA from 1 species